GUGGGGAAUAUUGGUCAAUGGACGAAAGUCUGAACCAGCCAUGCCGCGUGGAGGAUGAAGGUCCUCUGGAUUGUAAACUUCUUUUAUAUGGGACGAAAAUGGGGCUUUCUAGCUCAACUGACGGUACCAUAUGAAUAAGCACCGGCUAACUCCGUGCCAGCAGCCGCGGUAAUACGGAGGGUGCAAGCGUUAUCCGGAUUCACUGGGUUUAAAGGGUGCGUAGGUGGAUUGGUAAGUCAGAGGUGUAAUCUCCGGGCUCAACUCGGAAACUGCCUUUGAUACUAUCAAUCUUGAAUAGUGUGGAGGUUAGCGGAAUAUGUCAUGUAGCGGUGAAAUGCUUAGAUAUGACAUAGAACACCAAUUGCGAAGGCAGCUGGCUACACAUAUAUUGACACUGAGGCACGAAAGCGUGGGGAUCAAACAGGAUUAGAAACCCCAGUAGUCC
rnacentral:rRNA from 1 species